GUGAACGCUUGCGGUAGGCCUAACCCCUGCCAGUCGCACGGCAGCACAGUAAGAGCUUGCUCUUACGGGUGGCGAGUGGCGGACGGGUGAGGAAUACAUCGGAAUCUACUUUUUCGUGGGGGAUAACGUAGGGAAACUUACGCUAAUACCGCAUACGACCUACGGGUGAAAGCAGGGGAUCUUCGGACCUUGCGCGAUUGAAUGAGCCGAUGUCGGAUUAGCUAGUUGGCGGGGUAAAGGCCCACCAAGGCGACGAUCCGUAGCUGGUCUGAGAGGAUGAUCAGCCACACUGGAACUGAGACACGGUCCAGACUCCUACGGGAGGCAGCAGUGGGGAAUAUUGGACAAUGGGCGCAAGCCUGAUCCAGCCAUACCGCGUGGGUGAAGAAGACCUUCGGGUUGUAAAGCCCUUUUGUUGGGAAAGAAAAGCAGCAGGUUAAUACCCCGCUGUUCUGACGGUACCCAAAGAAUAAGCACCGGCUAACUUCGUG
rnacentral:rRNA from 1 species